UGGAACCCUGUUCCUGGUGUAGUGCACUACACAGGGUGUGGUUUGGAACCCUGUUCCUGGUGUAGUGCACUACACAGGGUGUGGUUUGGAACCCUGUUCCUGGUGUAGUGCACUACACAGGGUGUGGUUUGGAACCCUGUUCCUGGUGUGCUCUGCACUACACAGGGUGUGGUUUGGAACCCUGUUCCUGGUGUAGUGCACUACACAGGGUGUGGUUUGGAACCCUGUUCCUGGUGUAGUGCACUACACAGGGUGUGGUUUGGAACCCUGUUCCCGAUGUGGUGCACUACACAGGGUGUGGUUUGGAACCCUGUUCCCGGUGUAGUGCACUACACAGGGUGUGGUUUGGAACCCUGUUCCCGGUGUAGUGCUCUACACUACACAGGGUGUGGUUUGGAACCCUGUUCCCGGUGUAGUGCUCUACACUACACAGGGUGUGGGUUGGAACCCUGUUCCCGGUGUAGUGCUCUACACUACACAGGGUGUGGGUUGGAACCCUGUUCCCGGUGUAGUGCUCUACACUACACAGGGUGUGGGUUGGAACCCUGUUCCCGGUGUAGUGCUCUACACUACACAGGGUGUGGUUUGGAACCCUGUUCCCGGUGUAGUGCUCUACACUACACAGGGUGUGGUUUGGAACCCUGUUCCCGGUGUAGUGCUCUACACUACACAGGGUGUGGUUUGGAACCCUGUUCCCGGUGUAGUGCUCUACACUACACAGGGUGUGGUUUGGAACCCUGUUCCCGGUGUAGUGCUCUACACUACACAGGGUGUGGUUUGGAACCCUGUUCCCGGUGUAGUGCUCUACACUACACAGGGUGUGGUUUGGAACCCUGUUCCCGGUGUAGUGCUCUACACUACACAGCCUCUGUUUAUUUAAGUGGUACUUCUGUUCUGUUGGACAACAGGCUGUAUUUUGAUGUGUGUUUUGGCUGUUGUGUGUUUCUUCCAUUGGGAGGUGCAGUUUGAGACGUCUGCCUGUCGAACAGGGGUUCGACCUUCCUCUGUGGAAGCUGGUAUGGGUGCAGGCUUUAGCUCCCGCCCUGCAGUAAAACCUGUUUCAACUAAUCAUUUUUUAACGUUGAUUUAAUUAUAGUUAAGUCAAAUUCUAGUUAUCAAUAAAGAACAGCUGAUUCAACUGAUCCAAUUAGUCUUGGUCAUCAAUAAAGACUUUAUUAGUGGAGUCUGAUGUGUUACACCCACCGUGGUUCUGACAGGUUCUGGCCCCUGGAGCAGAGAACAGACACCCACCGUGGCCCGGACAGGUUCUGACCCCUGGAGCAGAGAACAGACACCCACCGUGGCCCUGACAGGUUCUGACCCCUGGAACAGAGAACAGAGACACCCACCGUGGCCCUGACAGGUUCUGACCCCUGGAGCAGAGAACAGAGACCCACCGUGGCCCUGACAGGUUCUGACCCCUGGACCAGAGAACAGACAGGUUCUGACCCCUGGACCAGAGAACAGACACCCACCGUGGCCCUGACAGGUUCUGACCCCUGGAGCAGAGAACAGACACCCACCGUGGCCCUGACAGGUUCUGACCCCUGGACCAGAGAACAGACACCCCCAGUGAAAGCAGCAUCUAUGUGGGGGAAGUGAUCAGAACCCUGGUCAGGAUAGUGAACGGUGGACCAGUCAAUCUUCAUUUCAUUUGCAUCUCCAUAUACCUUCUCUUCUCGUCAAUAGAGAUGAUUCAUAUGUUGAAAUGUAUAUCAAGAUAUUGUUUAUUUCACUUUUCUUUCAUCCUGGUUCCAUCAAUCGUCCAAUCAUCAAGCCCUUUUGAUAAGUUGAUUGAGGUGUGUUAGGCUGGCACAAAACCCUGCACACCCUGUGUGUUUCCAGGACUGGGAUUGAAGGACACUGAUGUGUUUAACUUUGUGUUUGUCAGAAUCAGACUGGGGAUGAAUUUUAAUUUAGUUUCUCAGAUUUUUACGAAGUGCUUUUUUUACUGAGCGGCUGAUGUUUUGAAUUUAGUCUGUGUUUUUGGUUUUACUGUGUUGUUGUUAUUGACAUUAUUUAACAGAUCACGAGUUUGUAAAUAUUGAUGAAAGACUGAGGAUGAUGUUAUUAUCGUUGGUGGUAAUAUAAGCAGUGUAUAGCACCUUCAUAAGCAGUGUAUAGCACCUUCAUAAGCAGUGUAUAGCACCUUCAUAAGCAGUGUAUAGCACCUUCAUAAGCAGUGUAUAGCACCUUCAUAAGCAGUGUAUAGCACCUUCAUAAGCAGUGCAUGAGGGCUUCAUAGGUAAAAGCAUCAUCUUGAGUCUUGUCCAAUAUGACAUGUACUGACCCAAUCACAACAACCCCACGCCCUUCCAGCAAGUAUUUGAAACGAUCCGACCCAUACAGACCCGUUAAUCUGGGCUUGGGCUUUGGAUCCUCCACAGGGAUGACGUAGGCCCUUAAGUAUUGCUUAUGAAGGGGACAAGUAGCCUCUAAGUAGGUUUCCUGCUCUAACUCUAAAGAUCUGACCAUACAUGGACUGUACAUCAGUGGAGUUGUUGCUAAUAGCAACAUGUCAAAAGUAUACCUAAUUUACAUCCCAAAUGGUACCCUAUCCCCUAUAUAGUGCCCUUCAUUUGACCAGAGCCCUAUGGGUUGAGCCCUAUAAAGUACACUUCAUUUGACCAGAGCCCUAUAUAGUACACUUCAUUUGACCAGAGCCCUAUGGGUUGAACCCUAUAUAGUACACUUCAUUUGACCAGGGCCCUAUGGGUUGAGCCCUAUAUAGUACACUUCAUUUGACCAGGGCCCUAUGGGUUGAACCCUAUAUAGUACACUUAAUUUGACCAGAGCCCUAUAUAGUGCACUUCAUUUGACCAGAGUCCUAUGGGUUGAGCCCUAUAUAGUGCACUUCAUUUGACCAGAGCCCUAUAUAGUACACUUCAUUUGACCAGAGCCCUAUAUAGUGCACUUCAUUUGACCAGAGCCCUAUGGGUUGAGCCCUAUAUAGUACACUUCAUUUGACCAGAGCCCUAUAUAGUACACUUCAUUUGACCAGAGCCCUAUAUAGUGCACAUCAUUUGACCAGAGCCCUAUGGGUUGAGCCCUAUAUAGUACACUUCAUUUGACCAGAGCCCUAUGGGUUGAACCCUAUAUAGUGCACUUCAUUUGACCAGAGCCCUAUAUAGUGCACUUCAUUUGACCAGAGCCCUAUGGGUUGAGCCCUAUAUAGUGCACUUCAUUUGACCAGAACCCUAUAUAGUGCACUUCAUUUGACCAGAACCCUAUGGGUUGAGCCCUAUAUAGUGCACUUCAUUUGACCAGAGCCCUAUAUAGUGCACUUCAUUUGACCAGAGCCCUAUAUAGUACACUUCAUUUGAUCAGAGCCCUAUGGGUUGAACCAUAUAUAGUACACUUCAUUUGACCAGAGCCCUAUGGGUUGAACCAUAUAUAGUACACUUCAUUUGACCAGAGCCCUAUGGGUUGAACCCUAUAUAGUGCACUUCAUUUGACCAGAGCCCUAUAUAGUGCACUUCAUUUGACCAGAGCCCUAUGGGUUGAACCCUAUAUUGUAAACUUCAUUUGACCAGAGCCCUAUGGGUUGAACCCUAUCCCUUAAGUAGUGCACUAUACAGGGGAAAGGAUGCCAUUUGUGACACAGAGGGAGGAUUUGAAUGGAUCUGUUCCAGGGUUUGUUGUGUGUAGUGUUUUAAACUAAAACCUGCUAACCAACCAUGUAAUGUCUAACAGUAUGAUGGAGGUCACAUGGUUAAAUAAAGCGGAUGUUUGGAACAUGUGUAGGAGAGACCGAGCCCCUAUAGGCUAAUCUACAACCUGCUUUGAAUAUAGCACAUCUAUACAG
ensembl:lncRNA